AUGCAGUCGAGCGAAUGGAUUAAGAGCUUGCUCUUAUGAAGUUAGCGGCGGACGGGUGAGUAACACGUGGGUAACCUGCCCAUAAGACUGGGAUAACUCCGGGAAACCGGGGCUAAUACCGGAUAACAUUUUGAACCGCAGGUUCGAAAUUGAAAGGCGGCUUCGGCUGUCACUUAUGGAUGGACCCGCGUCGCAUUAGCUAGUUGGUGAGGUAACGGCUCACCAAGGCAACGAUGCGUAGCCGACCUGAGAGGGUGAUCGGCCACACUGGGACUGAGACACGGCCCAGACUCCUACGGGAGGCAGCAGUAGGGAAUCUUCCGCAAUGGACGAAAGUCUGACGGAGCAACGCCGCGUGAGUGAUGAAGGCUUUCGGGUCGUAAAACUCUGUUGUUAGGGAAGAACAAGUGCUAGUUGAAUAAGCUGGCACCUUGACGGUACCUAACCAGAAAGCCACGGCUAACUACGUGCCAGCAGCCGCGGUAAUACGUAGGUGGCAAGCGUUAUCCGGAAUUAUUGGGCGUAAAGCGCGCGCAGGUGGUUUCUUAAGUCUGAUGUGAAAGCCCACGGCUCAACCGUGGAGGGUCAUUGGAAACUGGGAGACUUGAGUGCAGAAGAGGAAAGUGGAAUUCCAUGUGUAG
rnacentral:rRNA from 1 species